rnacentral:rRNA from 1 species
UACGGAGGGUGCGAGCGUUGUCCGGAAUCAUUGGGCGUAAAGGGCGCGUAGGUGGCCCCUCAAGCGUGCGGUGAAAGUCAGGGGCUCAACCCCUGAUCGGCCGUGCGAACUGGGGAGCUUGAGCACUGUAGAGGCAGGCGGAAUUCCGGGUGUAGCGGUGGAAUGCGUAGAGAUCCGGAAGAACACCGGUGGCGAAGGCGGGUCUCUGGGCAGUAACUGACGCUGAGGAGCGAAAGCGUGGGGAGCGAACAGG